AGGCGAAAAGAACCCCGGCGAGGGGAGUGAAAAAGAACCUGAAACCGUGUACGUACAAGCAGUGGGAGCACGCUUAGGCGUGUGACUGCGUACCUUUUGUAUAAUGGGUCAGCGACUUAUAUUCUGUAGCAAGGUUAACCGAAUAGGGGAGCCGAAGGGAAACCGAGUCUUAACUGGGCGUUAAGUUGCAGGGUAUAGACCCGAAACCCGGUGAUCUAGCCAUGGGCAGGUUGAAGGUUGGGUAACACUAACUGGAGGACCGAACCGACUAAUGUUGAAAAAUUAGCGGAUGACUUGUGGCUGGGGGUGAAAGGCCAAUCAAACCGGGAGAUAGCUGGUUCUCCCCGAAAGCUAUUUAGGUAGCGCCUCGUGAAUUCAUCUCCGGGGGUAGAGCACUGUUUCGGCAAGGGGGUCAUCCCGACUUACCAACCCGAUGCAAACUGCGAAUACCGGAGAAUGUUAUCACGGGAGACACACGGCGGGUGCUAACGUCCGUCGUGAAGAGGGAAACAACCCAGACCGCCAGCUAAGGUCCCAAAGUCAUGGU
rnacentral:rRNA from 1 species